rnacentral:rRNA from 1 species
CCUACGGGAGGCAGCAGUAGGGAAUAUUGCUCAAUGGGGGAAACCCUGAAGCAGCAACGCCGCGUGGAGGAUGACGGUUUUCGGAUUGUAAACUCCUUUUGUUAGAGAAGAUAAUGACGGUACCUAACGAAUAAGCACCGGCUAACUCCGUGCCAGCAGCCGCGGUAAUACGGAGGGUGCAAGCGUUACUCGGAAUCACUGGGCGUAAAGAGCGCGUAGGCGGGAUAGCAAGUCAGAUGUGAAAUCCUAUGGCUUAACCAUAGAACUGCAUUUGAAACUGUUAUUCUAGAGUAUGGGAGAGGUAGGUGGAAUGCGUGGUGUAGGGGUAAAAUGCGUAGAGAUCAAGAAGAAUACUCAUUGCGAAGGCGACCUACUAGAGCAUAACUGACGCUGAUGCGCGAAAGCGUGGGGAGCGAACAGGAUUAGAUACCCCAGUAGUC